CCCUGAGAUAAAACAGCCCAGCCCUGCUCAACCCACAGAAAACAGUUGAGAGCCCUGCAGAAACCUGGCUGUUGAGCGGCACUGCAAAUGAGCUUCCCAUAUGAAGUAAGCAUGUCCCACAAGUGGGGACCUGGCCAUGGGACUCUGGUUUGCCAUUAUUAGGACAAAUAGGAUCUUAGCGUGACCAGAGCAGACACUGUUCAAGCACGUCAAAACAUUAAAAAAAAAAAUUAUCCCCACAAAUGACUUAUUAAUGACAGAGAAGAAAAUGUACCUGCAAUGGGGCGAUCUGGCAGACACUUCCCAAUCAAGUCAUCAAAUUCAGCAGCCUCCAAAGUGGGGCCACCAGACAUGAUGUCCUCGGCUCCUGAAGGGAGGCACUGGAAGACACAGCAUCACUUGAGCCAUGUGCUCCCCCAACAUGCUUCACCUGAAUCUGCUCCUCAAGAGACAACCAGACAAGAAAUCCAGAAAGAGAAACUCCACAACACAACAGUCUUGGACUCUACAAAACAUUCAUUGUCACUAAUUGACUUUCUAAACGAUAAGAUGAAAGAGAAAUAACAGCCGGGUGCAGUGGCUCACACCUGUAAUCCCAGCACUUUGGGAGGCCGAGGCGGGUGGAUCACCUGAGGUCAGGGGUUCGAGACCAGCCUGGCCAACAUGGUGAAACCCAGUCUCUACUAAAAACACAAAAUUGGACGGGCGUGGUGGCACACACCUGUAAUCCCAGCUACUCGGGAGGCUGGGGUAGGAGAAUUGCUUGAACCCAGGAAGCAGAGGUUGCAGUGAGCCGAGAUCAUACCGUUGCACUCCAGCCUGGGCGACAGGAGCGAAACUCCAUCUCAAAAAAAAUUAAAGAGAGAGAAAUAACAACUAAA